AAACAAACAAAUUAUAUUGAGAUAGUGAAAAUUAUUAGUGCUAGUUUCGGUGAAUUUUUAAAUUAAUAGGAGUGAGGAAGUGAAGCGUAACAUAAACUGGAGCAUAUUUUCGGAACAAAGUUGCCAGUGCUACAAUUGCUCGGGAAGACUGAGACCUGCAAUAGAAAAUAAUUAUUAUUCUGAACUAUUAGCUGAACGAGUUUAUGCCAGCAAACAAGGCCGAGGAAGUG